CCAGACUCCUACGGGAGGCAGCAGUGGGGAAUAUUGCACAAUGGGGGAAACCCUGAUGCAGCGACGCCGCGUGAGCGAUGAAGUAUUUCGGUAUGUAAAGCUCUAUCAGCAGGGAAGAAAAUGACGGUACCUGACUAAGAAGCCCCGGCUAACUACGUGCCAGCAGCCGCGGUAAUACGUAGAGGGCAAGCGUUAUCCGGAUUUACUGGGUGUAAAGGGAGCGUAGACGGCGGUGCAAGCCAGAUGUGAAAGCCCGAGGCUCAACCCCGGGACUGCUCUUGGAACUGCGCGGCUGGAGUGCAGGAGGGGCAGGCGGAAUUCCUAGUGUAGCGGUGAAAUGCGUAGAUAUCAGGAGGAACACCGGUGGCGAAGGCGGCCUGCUGGACUGCGACUGACGUUGAGGCCCGAAAGCGUGGGGAGCAAACAGGAUUAGAUACCCGUGUA
rnacentral:rRNA from 1 species